rnacentral:rRNA from 1 species
UACGGGAGGGGGCUAGCGUUGUUCGGAAUUACUGGGCGUAAAGGGCGCGUAGGCGGCCUGGUCAGUCGGGUGUGAAAGCCCGGGGCUCAACCCCGGAACGGCACCCGAGACGGCCAGGCUGGAGACCGGGAGAGGAGGGUGGAAUAGCCAGUGUAGAGGUGAAAUUCGUAGAUAUUCGGAAGAACACCAGUGGCGAAGGCGGCUCACUGGACGCGUAUUGACGCUGAGGUACGAAAGCGUGGGGAGCAAACAGG